rnacentral:rRNA from 1 species
AAGUUGAUCAUGGCUCAGGAUGAACGCUGGCGGCGUGCUUAACACAUGCAAGUCACGGGGGCCCGAAGCGCAAGCUUUGGGUAACCGGCGAACGGGUGCGUAACACGUGAGCAACCGUACCUAAGUGAGGGGGAUAGCCGGGCCAACGCCCGGGUAAUACCGCAUACGCUCGAGGAGAGGCAUUUCAUCUCGAGGAAACCUACGGGGCACUAUGAGGGGCUCGCGGCUAUCAGCUUGUUGGUGGGGUGAUGGCUUACCAAGCGACGACGGGUAGCCGGCCUGAGAGGGCGUCCGGCCACACUGGGACUGAGACACGGCCCAGACUCCUACGGGAGGCAGCAGUGGGGAAUAUUGCGCAAUGGGCGGAAGCCUGACGCAGCGACGCCGCGUGGGGGAUGACGGCCUUCGGGUUGUAAACCUCUUUCGUCAUCGACGAAGGCCUGUGGGUGAUUCUGCGGGUUGACGGUAGGUGGAGAAGAAGCACCGGCCAACUACGUGCCAGCAGCCGCGGUAAUACGUAGGUGCGAGCGUGUCCGGAAUUAUUGGGCGUAAAGAGCUCGUAGCGGUGUGUCGCGUCGGUCGUGAAAACUUGGGGCUUAACCCUGAGCUUGCGGUCGAUACGGGCAUCACUUGAGUUCGGCAGGGAGACUGGAAUCCUGGUGUAGCGGUGAAUGCGCAGAUAUCAGAGGAACACCGGUGGCGAGGCGGGUCUCUGGGCGAUCUGACGCUGAGGAGCGAAAGCGUGG